ensembl:lncRNA
GCUGAGUUCACCAGAUGUGUUUUGAUAUGGGUAAGUCAAAAGGUCAAGCCGCAUAAUAGAUUUAUGGCCUUUUUUAACAUAAAAAAAAUAGUAUAAAAUCAAAAGGUGGGUUUUUGGAAAAAAUAAGCUUUGUUUUAUGUGUGGGGCAGUUAGCUGAGUUCACCAGAUGUGUUUUGAUAUGUGUAGGUCAAAAGGUCAAGCCGCAUAAUAGAUUUAUAGCUUUUUCUGAGUAAAAAAUAUUUAUAAAAUCAAAGGGUAGGUAUUUUGAGAAAAGAAGCUUUGUGUUAUGUGUGGGGCAGUUAGCUGAGUUCACCAGAUGUGUUUUGAUAUGGGUAGGUCAAAAGGUCAAGCCGCAUAAUAGAUUUAUAGCCUUUUUUAACAUUAAACAAAUAGUAUAAAAUCAAAAGGUGGGUUUUUGGAAAAAAGAAGCUUUGUGUUAUGUGUGGGGCAGUUAGCUGAGUUCACCAGAUGUGUUUUGAUAUGGGUAAGUCAAAAGGUCAAGCCGCAUAAUAGAUUUAUAGCCUUUUUUAACAUUAAAAAAAUAGUAUAAAAUCAAAAG